GUAGUCAUAUGCUUGUCUCAAAGAUUAAGCCAUGCAUGUCUAAGUAUAAGCAAUUAUACCGUGAAACUGCGAAUGGCUCAUUAAAUCAGUUAUCGUUUAUUUGAUAGUACCUUACUACUUGGAUAACCGUGGUAAUUCUAGAGCUAAUACAUGCUGAAAACCCCAACUUCGGGAGGGGUGUAUUUAUUAGAUAAAAAACCAACGCCCUUCGGGGCUUCUUGGUGAUUCAUGAUAACUUCACGGAUCGCAUGGCCUUGCGCCGGCGACGGUUCAUUCAAAUUUCUGCCCUAUCAACUUUCGAUGGUAAGGUAUUGGCUUACCAUGGUUUCAACGGGUAACGGGGAAUUAGGGUUCGAUUCCGGAGAGGGAGCCUGAGAAACGGCUACCACAUCCAAGGAAGGCAGCAGGCGCGCAAAUUACCCAAUCCCGACACGGGGAGGUAGUGACAAUAAAUACUGAUACAGGGCUCUUUUGGGUCUUGUAAUUGGAAUGAGUACAAUUUAAACCUCUUAACGAGGAACAAUUGGAGGGCAAGUCUGGUGCCAGCAGCCGCGGUAAUUCCAGCUCCAAUAGCGUAUAUUAAAGUUGUUGCAGUUAAAAAGCUCGUAGUUGAAACUUGGGUCUGGCUGGCAGGUCCGCCUCACCGCGUGUACUUGUCCGGCCGGGCCUUUCCUUCUGGAGAACCUCAUGCCCUUCACUGGGCGUGUUGGGGAACCAGGACUUUUACUUUGAAAAAAUUAGAGUGUUCAAAGCAGGCCUUUGCUCGAAUACGUUAGCAUGGAAUAAUAGAAUAGGACGUGCGGUCCUAUUUUGUUGGUUUCUAGGACCGCCGUAAUGAUUAAUAGGGACAGUCGGGGGCAUCAGUAUUCAAUUGUCAGAGGUGAAAUUCUUGGAUUUAUUGAAGACUAACUACUGCGAAAGCAUUUGCCAAGGAUGUUUUCAUUAAUCAGUGAACGAAAGUUAGGGGAUCGAAGACGAUCAGAUACCGUCGUAGUCUUAACCGUAAACUAUGCCGACUAGGGAUCGGGCGAAGUUCUUUUUCUGACUCGCUCGGCACCUUACGAGAAAUCAAAGUUUUUGGGUUCUGGGGGGAGUAUGGUCGCAAGGCUGAAACUUAAAGGAAUUGACGGAAG
rnacentral:rRNA from 2 species